AAUGCGAUAAGUAGUGUGAAUUGCAGAAUUCAGUGAAUCAUCGAAUCUUUGAACGCACAUUGCGCCCCUUGGUAUUCCAUGGGGCAUGCCUGUUCGAGCGUCAUUUGUACCUUCAAGCUUUGCUUGGUGUUGGGUGUUUGUCUCGCCUCUGCGUGUAGACUCGCCUCAAAACAAUUGGCAGCCGGCGUAUUGAUUUCGGAGCGCAGUACAUCUCGCGCUUUGCACUCAUAACGACGACGUCCAAAAGUACAUUUUUACACUCUUGACCUCGGAUCAGGUAGGGAUACCCGCUGAACUUAAGC
rnacentral:misc_RNA from 1 species